UACGGAGGGUGCGAGCGUUGUCCGGAAUCACUGGGCGUAAAGGGCUCGUAGGCGGUUUGUCGCGUCGGGAGUGAAAACCUUGGGCUUAACUCAGGGCUUGCUUUCGAUACGGGCAGACUAGAGGUAUGCAGGGGAGAACGGAAUUCCUGGUGUAGCGGUGAAAUGCGCAGAUAUCAGGAGGAACACCGGUGGCGAAGGCGGUUCUCUGGGCAUGAUCUGACGCUGAGGAGCGAAAGUGUGGGGAGCGAACAGG
rnacentral:rRNA from 1 species